CUCACUGGUCGAGUGGACAUGCGCCGACAAUACACGGGGCUAAGCUGGACACCGAAGCGGCGGGAUUUUAAUUCAUUAGAAUCGGUAGGGGAGCUUCCCAUGGGCGGAGAAGCCGGAGGGCGACCGACGGUGGAGCGCAUGGGAGUGAGAAUGCUGGCAUGAGUAGCGAGAGACGAGAGAGUAACUCGUCCGCCGUGAACCCGAGGUUUCCUGGGCAAGGCUAAUCCUCCCAGGGUCAGUCGGGGGCUAAGGCGAGGCCGGUAGGCGUAGCCGACGCGCAGCAGGCAGACAUUCCUGCACCGCGCACGCGGCGCUACGACCGACGGGGCGACGGAUGGGGGUGGCUCGGCGGGGUUCUGGACGUCCCCGUGAUGGAGCGCGGCCCGCGGACCAGGGAAAUCCGGUCCGCAUCAAGGGCGAGGCUCCGGACGAAGCGACUGAGCGAAGCGAGUGAGCCCGAGGUCCCUAGAAAAACCCCUAGGCAGGCGCGUGCGCGCCCGUACCGCAAACCGACACAGGUGGGUGGGUAGAACAUACCGAGGCGAUCGGGUCAACCAUGGUCAAGGAACUCGGCACAAUGGCCCCGUAACUUCGGGAGAAGGGGUGCCCGCGCGUACGUGAACCGGCUUGCCCGGGGAGCGGAGGCGGGCCGCAGUGGAGAGGCCCAAGCGACUGUUUACCAAAAACACAGGACUCUGCAGAAGCCGCAAGGCGACGUAUAGGGUCUGACGCCUGCCCGGUGCCGGAAGGUCACGCGGAGGAGUUAGCCAUUUCGGCGAAGCCCCGAAGCCAAGCCCCGGUAAACGGCGGCCGUAACUAUAACGGUCCUAAGGUAGCGAAAUUCCUUGUCGGGUAAGUUCCGACCUGCACGAAAGGCGCAACGACUUGGGCGCUGUCUCGACCAUGGACCCGGUGAAAUUGCACUGGUCGUGAAGAUGCGACUUACCCGCGGAAGGACGGAAAGACCCCGUGAACCUUCACUGCAGCUUGGCAUUGGCCGCUGGUCCCGCGUGUAGAGGAUAGGCAGGAGGCUAAGAUCCGGAGGCGCCAGCCCCCGGGGAGCCGCCCUUGGAAUACUGCCCUCGCGCGACCGGCGUCCUAACCCGAGGCCGUCAACCGGCUCGGGGACCGUGCCAGGCGGGCAGUUUGACUGGGGCGGUCGCCUCCUAAAGGGUAACGGAGGCGCGCGAAGGUCCGCUCGGGACGGUCGGCAACCGUCCUUUUGAAUGCAAGAGUACAAGCGGGCUUGACUGCGAGGCCCACAAGCCGAGCAGGUGCGAAAGCAGGCUCUAGUGAUCCGGCGGCCCCGAGUGGGUGGGCCGUCGCUCAACGGAUAAAAGGUACUCCGGGGAUAACAGGCUGAUCUUGCCCAAGAGUCCACAUCGACGGCAAGGUUUGGCACCUCGAUGUCGGCUCAUCGCAUCCUGGGGCUGGAGCAGGUCCCAAGGGUACGGCUGUUCGCCGUUUAAAGCGGUACGCGAGCUGGGUUCAGAACGUCGUGAGACAGUUCGGUCCCUAUCCUCCGUGGGCGCAGGAGAAUCGAUGGAGGCUGCCCCCAGUACGAGAGGACCGGGGUGGACGCACCUCCGGUGAACCGGUUGUCGACCAACGGCACGGCCGGGUAGCCGCGUGCGGCGCGGAUAACCGCUGAAGGCAUCUAAGCGGGAAGCCGUUCCAGGGAUUAGUUCUCCUUCCGGUAAGGGCCCAGGUAGACUACCUGGUCGAUAGACGGCAGGUGCAAGGACGGCGACGUCCUCAGCCGAGCCGCACUAAUCGCCCGAGCUCUUCCGGA
rnacentral:rRNA from 1 species